UAGGGAAUAUUGGGCAAUGGAGGCAACUCUGACCCAGCCAUGCCGCGUGCCGGACGAAGGCGCUCAGCGUUGUAAACGGCUUUUAUCAACGAAGAACGAGCAGGAUGCGUCCUGCUGUGACGGUAGUUGAGGAAUCAGCACCGGCUAACUCCGUGCCAGCAGCCGCGGUAAUACGGAGGGUGCAAGCGUUGUCCGGAUUUAUUGGGUUUAAAGGGUGCGUAGGUGGGUCUUUAAGUCUGGCUUGAAAGUGGGCUGCUUAACAGUCCAAGGUGGUUGGAAACUGGAGGUCUUGAAUGGGUUGGCGGUAGCCGGAACGGGUCAUGUAGCGGUGAAAUGCAUAGAUAUGACCCAGAACCCCGAUUGCGAAGGCAGGCUACUACGACUUGAUUGACACUGAGGC
rnacentral:rRNA from 1 species